GGUUGAUCCUGCCAGUAGUCAUACGCUCGUCUCAAAGAUUAAGCCAUGCAUGUCUAAGUACAAGCACUUGUACUGUGAAACUGCGAAUGGCUCAUUAUAUCAGUUAUAGUUUAUUUGAUAGAUGCCUACUACAUGGAUAACCGUAGUAAUUCUAGAGCUAAUACAUGCAAGAAGGCCCGACUUUACGGAAGGGCUGUAUUUAUUAGAUAUAAACCAAUUCGGGGGUAACUCCGAUAUUGUGGUGAGUCAUGAUAACUAAGCGGAUCGCAGUGGCUUCGGCCGGCGAUGAAUCA
rnacentral:rRNA from 1 species